rnacentral:lncRNA from 1 species
AGAGAGAAAAGAAACAAUAGUGUUUUUUUCAUUUCUUUUUUGAAACAAUAUUUUAUUUUAUUUUUUUCUUUUCUUAAUUGGAAUAUGCAUUUUUUUAUUAUUAAAUUUUGUCAUUGGACAGUGGUAGAAAUGUGUACAGACACGUAAGUGUGUUUACCUAUAAGUGCUCUUUUUUUAUUAUUAAAUUUUGCCAUUGGACAGUGGUAGAAAGGUGUACAGACACGUAAGUGUGUUUACCUAUAAGUGCUCAAAAUAUUAAUAUGUGUGAUAAAUUUGUGGAACCUAUUUUAAAAUUUACCAUUGAAGUGAAAAAUGAAUGCAUAGUUACAAGAUUAUGUGGCAUAAUAGGUCCCACGAAAUAA